GACGAACGCUGGCGGCGUGCUUAACACAUGCAAGUCGAACGGAGAGGCGCCUUCCUUUUUGGUCGGUUUUUAGGAGUGGCGGACGGGGUAGUAACAGGUGAGUAACCUUCUCCCUUCUUCUUAAUAACCGCAUGAAAGUGUUGCUAAUACGGGAUAUUCUGGAUCUGUCGCAUGAUGGGUCUGGGACAGUUUUUGUUUCAGUUGUGGAUGGGGUCGCGCCGUAUCAGCUUGUUGGUGAGGUGAUGGCCUACCAAGGCGAUGACGGGUAGCCGGCCUGAGAGGGUCGACGGUACCAGAGGGAAGGAGCCGCCGAGACGACUACUACGGGAGGCAGUAGUGGGUAAUACUGCACGAUGGGAGGAAGGAUGAUGCAGCGCCGCGGCGUGAGUGAUGGAGUCCUUAGGGUUGUGAACUUCUUUCGCGAGUGAAGAAGGCUUGCAUCGUCUGUGGGUGGGUUGACGGUAGCUGGAUAAGAAGCGACGGCUAACUACGUG
rnacentral:rRNA from 1 species